rnacentral:rRNA from 1 species
UGAACGCUGGCGGCAGGCCUAACACAUGCAAGUCGAGCGGAAACGACACUAACAAUCCUUCGGGUGCGUUAAUGGGCGUCGAGCGGCGGACGGGUGAGUAAUGCCUAGGAAAUUGCCUUGAUGUGGGGGAUAACCAUUGGAAACGAUGGCUAAUACCGCAUAAUGCCUACGGGCCAAAGAGGGGGAUCUUCGGACCUCUCGCGUCAAGAUAUGCCUAGGUGGGAUUAGCUAGUUGGUGAGGUAAUGGCUCACCAAGGCGACGAUCCCUAGCUGGUCUGAGAGGAUGAUCAGCCACACUGGAACUGAGACACGGUCCAGACUCCUACGGGAGGCAGCAGUGGGGAAUAUUGCACAAUGGGCGAAAGCCUGAUGCAGCCAUGCCGCGUGUAUGAAGAAGGCCUUCGGGUUGUAAAGUACUUUCAGUUGUGAGGAAGGGGGUAACGUUAAUAGCGUUAUCUCUUGACGUUAGCAACAGAAGAAGCACCGGCUAACUCC